AGUGAACGCUGGCGGCAGGCCUAACACAUGCAAGUCGAACGGCAACACAGUAAGAGCUUGCUAUGACGGGUGGAGAGUGGAGGAAGGGAGCGGAAUAUGUCCGAAUCUACUUUUUAGCGGGGCGUAACGUAGGGUAAUUUCCGCUAAUACCGCAUAAGACAUACAGGUGACCGCAAGGGCUCUUCGGGACUUACGGGAUGAUAUGAGCCGAUGUCGGAUUAGCGAGUUGGCGGGGUAAAGGCUCACCAAGGCGACGAUCCGUAGCUGGUCUGAGAGGAUGAUCAGCCACACUGGAACUGAGACACGGUCCAGACUCCUACGGGAGGCAGCAGUGGGGAAUAUUGGACAAUGGGCGCAAGCCUGAUCCAGCCAUACCGCGUGGGUGAAGAAGGCCUUCGGGUUGUAAAGCCCUUUUGUUGGGAAAGAAAAGCAGCAGGUUAAUACCCCGCUGUUCUGACGGUACCCAAAGAAUAAGCACCGGCUAACUUCGUG
rnacentral:rRNA from 1 species